rnacentral:pre_miRNA from 1 species
GGUGCUAGUUAAAAAUGAUAGAUUCUUGAGUUCCAGCCCAUAAUUACUGAAUCAAAAUAGCUGGUGAUGGCCUCCAGGAAUCUGCAUUUUAACACUGUCG